rnacentral:lncRNA from 1 species
CCACUUAAACUCAACAUUUUCCCGGGGCAGCGAACACUGAAUGACCUGCUCAAAACCAACAGCAAGGUCCGCUAUGAGGGAGUCGAAAACAAAACAACAAAAUGCACGUGGUAGAAACAAACUAACUUCUGAUCAUUCUGGAUGCAAAUGGAGCAGUGUCAUGGUGUCGUCUGUCAUUAGUUAGAGAAACGAUUCUUGCUGUUUUAAUCUGUCUGAAAUGUCCCGCUCAUCUGUCGCGUUAUAGUUGGAAACAACAUUUGUCGCUCCCGGUACUCGAUUGCAACAGCACACUGCCUGCUGUUAAAUAGUACGUAAUCCUCCAGCUCAUGCAUUAUGUUUCUCCACAUAACCUCCUGUGGAGGAGUCAACAGAAAGUCCAGCAGAGAAUUCCGGACAGAGAAAAGGAGCUGAAGGAUCUCAAAUAAACUAUAGCAUCUCUUAUUUAACCUUUAUUUAACUAGGCAAGUCAGUUAGGAACAAAUUCUUAUUUAUAAUGACAGCCUACCCCGGACAAACCCGGACGACGCUGGUCUAAUUCCUUGGUUUUAAUUUCUGUCCUAACAGCGGACUGCACACGCAUCAGUAAAGGUCAGUGAUAUGAUCUUUACUGAGAAAAUGAACCACAUUGAGAGAAGGCGCUCUGAUGUGAAGGUGGGUGCUCUGAUGUGAAAGUAGGUGCUCUGAUGUGAAGGUAGGUGCUCUGAUGUGAAGGUGGUGCUCUGAGGUGAAGGUAGGUGCUCUGAUGUGAAGGUAGGUGCUCUGAUGUGAAGGUGGUGCUCUGAGGUGAAGGUAGGUGCUCUGAUGUGAAGGUAGGUGCACUGAGGUGAAGGUAGGUUCUCUGAUGUGAAGGUGGGUGCUCUGAGGUGAAGGUAGGUGCUCUGAUGUGAAGGUAGGUGCUCUGAGGUGAAGGUGGGUGCUCUGAUGUGAAGGUGGGUGCUCUGAUGUGAAGGUAGGUGCUCUGAUGUGAAGGUAGGUGCUCUGAGGUGAAGGUAGGUGCUCUGAGGUGAAAGUGGGUGCUCUGAGGUGAAAGUGGGUGCUCUGAGGUGAAGGUGGGUGCUCUGAGGUGAAGGUGGGUGCUCUGAGGUGAAGGUGGGUGCUCUGAGGUGAAGGUGGGUGCUCUGAGGUGAAGGUAGGUGCUCUGAGGUGAAGGUAGGUGCUUUGAGGUGAAGGUAGGUGCUCUGAGGUGAAGGUAGGUGCUCUGAGGUGAAGGUAGGUUCUCUGAGGUGAAGGUAGGUGCUCUGAUGUGAAGGUAGUUGCUCUGAGGUGAGGGUAGGUGCUCUGAGGUGAAGAUGGUUGAUCUCAUGUGAAGGUAGGUGCUCUGAGGUGAAGCUGGGUGCUCUGAGGUGAAGGUAGGUGCUCUGAUGUGAAGGUAGGUGCUCUGAUGUGAAGGUAGGUGCUCUGAUGUGAAGGUAGGUGCUCUGAGGUAAAGGUAGGUGCUCUGAGGUAAAGGUAGGUGCUCUGAGGUAAAGGUAGGUGCUCUGAGGUAAAGGUAGGUGCUCUGAGGUGAAGGUAGGUGCUCUGAUGUGAAGAAGGUAGGUGCUCUGAUGUGAAGAAGGUAGGUGCUCUGAUGUGAAGGUGGGUGCUCUGAGGUGAAGGUGUGUGCUCUGAGGUGAAGGUGGGUGCUCUGAGGUGGAGGUAGGUGCUCUGAGGUGAAGGUAGGUGCUCUGAGGUGAAGAUGGUUAAUCUGAUGUGAAGGUAGGUGCUCUGAUGUGAAGCUGGGUGCUCUGAGGUGAAGGUAGGUUCUCUGAGGUGAAAGUGGGUGCUCUGAUGUGAAGGUAGGUGCUCUGAUGUGAAGGUAGGUGCUCGGAGGUGAAGAAGG